rnacentral:rRNA from 1 species
CACCUACGGGAGGCAGCAGUGAGGAAUAUUGGUCAAUGGGCGGGAGCCUGAACCAGCCAAGCCGCGUGAAGGAAGAAGGCGCCAGGCAUCGUAAACUUCUUUUGUCGGGGAACAAAGGGCGCCACGCGUGGCGUUGUGAGUGUACCCGAAGAAAAAGCAUCGGCUAACACCGUGCCAGCAGCCGCGGUAAUACGGAGGAUGCGAGCGUUAUCCGGAUUUAUUGGGUUUACAGGAUGCGAAGGCGAUACAACAAGUCAGAGGUAAAAGCCCGGGGCUCAACCCCGGCGAGCCGUUGAAACUGUCGG